rnacentral:lncRNA from 1 species
GCAUGAAGUUCUAAUAACAUGCAUGAAUAUAAAACACUCUUUUUAUGGUUCUUCUUCUUGGAACAUCACAGUGGCACCCCUACACUCCAUAAGAGUACCCUAUUAAAUAGGAAGAGAAGGUCUCUAAACCCUACUUGCUCUUAUGACCGGAUGGCCUGAUGAUGAACUCCAAUUAGAGUACUAAGCUACUAAGAAAAUUUUACACAUACAUCAUGUAUUUUAUAUUUAAAAC